AUACGUAGGGUGCGAGCGUUGUCCGGAAUUACUGGGCGUAAAGAGCUCGUAGGUGGUUUGGCGCGUCGUCUGUGAAAUUCCGGGGCUUAACUCCGGGCGUGCAGGCGAUACGGGCAUAACUUGAGUACUGUAGGGGAGACUGGAAUUCCUGGUGUAGCGGGGAAAUGCGCAGAUAUCAGGAGGAACACCGGUGGCGAAGGCGGGUCUCUGGGCAGUAACUGACGCUGAGGAACGAAAGCAUGGGUAGCGAACAGGAUUAGAUACCCUGGUAGUCCAUGCCGUAAACGGUGGGCGCUAGGUGUAGGGGUCUUCCACGACUUCUGUGCCGUAGCUAACGCAUUAAGCGCCCCGCCUGGGGAGUACGGCCGCAAGGCUAAAACUCAAAUGAAUUGGCGGGG
rnacentral:rRNA from 1 species